AACCAAAGUUAUUCUGCCACAUAGACCCACUGAGAACCAGAGCUGAAGCUAUUUGAUGCUGGUUUGGAUAUACUUGGAAGCCAUCCAAGGGAGAAAAAAUAUGAACGAUGGGAAGUAAAAGAGAAGAAGAAGGCAAAACAAUAAAAAUGUGCCUUUGUGAAAUGAAAAGUCAUUUCCCAGUCUUCCACAAAUGCACACAUCUUAAGCACAAGAUGUGUUCUUUCUUGGACUAAAAGUAAUGAAAGGAUGGAGAACAAAGUAAGGUUUUGUAAUUCAGUUGACAAGUCAAGACACACCUGCAUGACUAUUCUCAGUGGCAAAGAAUGUGGGACAGUGUCAAUGACAGGUCUCAUUCCUGAACUCAACAGCAUGACUAGAAAGAAGUGGAAGGACUUGCAGGAAUGGCUUGCAGCCUGGAAUGCUGUGGAGAGGGGCAAACCAAACCAACCUGAAGCUCAC
rnacentral:lncRNA from 1 species